rnacentral:misc_RNA from 1 species
AUUUAUUAAAAAUAGUCACUUUAUUAAAUAAUGUGAGAAACUAUAUUUUUUGCGAACAGACUUGAAGAUGAAUUAUGAAAGGGUGUGACAAGUAUCAGUAAUGCAGUAAGACGCAGAGGUAGAGCAAGAAGAGUAAUGAAAAGAGAGAGCUCCUAAAUAAGGAGCAAAUUAAUGUCAUGGGAAAAAUUCCGAUACAAUUUCCUGGUCUAAACACUCCUGUGUUUAGAAGAAAAGAAUUAAUUCAACAGCAAAAACUUAUGGAAUUACCACAAAGUUAGACCAGACCAAUGCAAAUAAAAUUAUCGCCAUUGGAAUGUGGUUGGACGAGUAUUACAAUGGAUGGCAGAAGCAUUGAAUCAGAUCUUAUUGGAAAAGAUACAUUUGAAAGUUUUGAAACCCGGAUUUUGGAAAACAAAAUAAUAACUUGUAUGACCGGUAAUUUAGCACGUAGGACUAGAAUCAGUUCAUUUAUAGUAACUGGAAAUGGAUUAGCUGGAUUUGCGUUAUCAAAAGCCAAAGCAUCCCUAAAGACGGUUAAAAAUAGGGCUGGUCAAAGACUAAUGUAUAUUCCUACAUAUAAGGAAUACACUGUGUUACAUGAUUUCUUUACACAGUUUGAGAAUAUAAAAAUAUUUGUAAAGAAAAUUCAUGAAGGAUAAUGGGCUUGUUUGUCAUCAUGCGAUAAAAGCGUGUUGCGAGAUAAUUGGCAUAAAGGAUAUGUAUGCCAAAGUACAAGGAGGAAUGUAAAAGCAUUCUUUGGUUGAUUUAUUGCAAUAGAUAUUUCUAUU